AGAAGAACGACUUAAGAUUGAGAGGCCUGAUGUUGCUCACGUCACCACUUCAAGCUCCAAGAAAAGGAAAGGUAAUUCUUUUAAGGUCCCUAAGACAAAUGCAAGUACGAGUUCAGACCCUUCCUCAAGCACUCCCUACUAUAAAUUUUGCCGAAAGAAAGGGCAUUAUCAAAGGGAUUGUUCUAAGUUCAAGGAGUGGCUGACCAAGAAAGGGAUUCCGUUCAAUCCGAAUGCUGGGAAGAAAGCAAAGGGUAAUUAAAGUGGGCAAUGGAGAAGACUUAGAAGUGAAGGCCAUAGGAACUCUCACCUUAGUAUUAGAGAGUGGUUUUUCACUCAUUCUUCAUGAAGCUCUUUAUGUACCUAAUAUUACUCGUAACUUAAUAUCUGUAUCAAAACUAAAUGCCGAUGGCUUUUCGUUUACAUUUGUACAUAAUAAAGUUACUAUUUGCUUUAA